GGACAGGUAAUCCGAAUUAGGGUCUGAAUUUAGCCUGGACUAAUAAUUCAGAUCCAAGCUCAUUAGAGUAAUUGUCAUUGCAGGGGAUUUAGCCUGGACUGGUAAUCCCGACAAUACUCUAUGAGUUUAUAUUACAGGGGAUUUAGCCUGGACUGGUAAUCCCGCUGUAAGGAUGAGGUUCGCGAGAGUGUGCUCUCUGAAAUGGAAAUGUGCGCACAUGAAUAUGA
rnacentral:lncRNA from 1 species